UAGUCAAUGCUCGCAAGAGUGAACUAGCUAACUGAAAUCAAAGAGUUAAAAUUUAACUCCUGAUGUCGUAAGGGAAAAUAAUGAUAAUACCUUACUAUUAGUGUCGUCCAAAUCUGGUGCCAGAAGACUCGGUAAGACCAGAGACGCAAACGUUAAUCAUCAUAAUCAGGCGUAAAGGGUUUGUAGGCAGCCUCCAUCCCCUCAAUCCUCGUCCACCCUCCAAUACUCUACUCUAUAUCUAUACCCUUCCCUUCCAUUUUCUUGUCUCGCCCAUCCCUCUCCCUCCCCCGCAACCCCCUUUACUAAAGGCAUAGGGGGAAGCGGUCUAGGGCAGGAUGGAAACGGGGCUCGAGUAAUAGUAGGGGCGGGGCUAGGUUGGAGGGGUAUAGGAGGCUGGGUAAACGGGGCUUUUUGAGGGAGCCGGAGAGCUAGAAUCAAAAAGAGGUUAUAGUGUAUAACGCCUAGAGGAGGGCUAAUAUCCAUAGAUUCUAGGCAGAAUACUCAGGGCGAAGGCCACUCUCCACUAAUGAUUGACGCUGAGAAACGAAGGUUAGGAUAGGAAAUAGGAUUAGAUACCCCGGUACUCCUUUCUGUAAACGAUGAAUGGUAGUCAUUAGUUUUUUUAACUAGAGACGAAGUUAACACAAUAACCAUUCCGCCUUGUGAGUACUACUGCAAAGUAGAAAACAAAAAAAUUAGUCGGUCUCGAAGCAAACGGAGUGAAGCAUGUUAUUUAAU
rnacentral:rRNA from 1 species